AGUGAACGCUGGCGGUAGGCCUAACACAUGCAAGUCGAACGGCAGCACAGAGGAGCUUGCUCCUUGGGUGGCGAGUGGCGGACGGGUGAGGAAUACAUCGGAAUCUACUUUUUCGUGGGGGAUAACGUAGGGAAACUUACGCUAAUACCGCAUACGACCUACGGGUGAAAGCAGGGGAUCUUCGGACCUUGCGCGAUUGAAUGAGCCGAUGUCGGAUUAGCUAGUUGGCGGGGUAAAGGCCCACCAAGGCGACGAUCCGUAGCUGGUCUGAGGGGAUGAUCAGCCACGCUGGAACUGGGACACGGUCCAGACUCCUACGGGAGGCAGCAGUGGGGAAUAUUGGCCAAUGGGCGCAAGCCUGAUCCAGCCAUACCGCGUGGGUGAAGAAGGCCUUCGGGUUGUAAAGCCCUUUUGUUGGGAAAGAAAUCCAGCCGGCUAAUACCUGGUUGGGAUGACGGUACCCAAAGAAUAAGCACCGGCUAACUUCGUGCCAGCCGCCGCGGUAAAAC
rnacentral:rRNA from 1 species